UUGCAGAAUGAACCAUACAUAAUCAAAGUGGUGGAUCACUCUCAGGUUCUUCCUGGGACCAGACAAUUUGUUUGAAGGAAUACUUAGGAGACUGGCAAAACCUGUAAAACUUUCAAUGCCUUAAUAAACUGCUGUUUUCUGGUCCUUCAGAAGUUGCCAUAUUUUUCAUCUCAUUGUACAUGUGCUACAUAUUGUAUAGGACAAGACGGGAAGCAGAAAGGAAAAGUGAUUUCAUUGUCAAGGCUGCUGCAUGCUUUGGCAGAACUGGUGAAACAUCUGACUUUAGACAGUUCUUCAGAACCAAUCUGUCACAUCCUCAUCUGUUGUAAGUCAGCCAUGGAUAAUUUGGCUUUAUUUUGAAUCUGUAAGCAAACUUAUUUAGACCAACAAACCAUCUCAAGGGCUCAUACCUUUUUUUUUGAUUGAUGGUUCUGAUCCUUUGAUUGUGAUUCAGAAGAUUGUGAGUCAGAAAGCAAGACUGACUCACAUUAAAAACAGUUCAGUGCUCUUUUCAGCAAGAAGGGAACAAAGUAUUUUCUGCUUAUAAAUCUGAUUCAAAAUUUCCUUUAAUGUCAUUUUUUCCCAGCUUCUACUGGCUUCGUUUGUAGGAGGUGUUUUUGUGGUUUUUUUAGGUUUUGUGGCUUUGUUUUGUUAUUUUGAGGUUAUGUUUUGUUUUAGAUUUAAUGUAUUUGGCUUACAGCAGGGUUUGGGUAACAAAAGCAGGGUUUGUGAAGAGACACCAAGAGCUGCCCCAGUGUUGGACACAGACAGUUCCAGCCAUGUCCAAGGACCUGUCACUGGUUGAUGUUAAGCCAUCAGUGAUGCUGGUGGCAUCUCAUUGGUAAGAAGGGGAAAAAAUGCUGAAGUUGUGAGACAGAGGAGUGAGAAUAUGUGAGAACAAAACUGUGUUGACUACAAGGUCAGUGAAAGAGGAGAAGAAGCUGUUCCAAUUCCCAGAGCAAAGAUUCCCUGCAGCAGUAAUUAAUAAUUACUUAUAUUUCUGCAGGUUAUGAUUUUCCAAGUUAUGAUUUUUGCAUGCUACCUAUAUCAGUUUUAUCAGAUUUUUGGAGAAAAUUUUGUGUUAAAGGUAGGAAAAUGUGUUGAUUUCCUUGGCAUAGUCAGCCUUUUUAAACAUGGAAAAUGCUUUAUAAUAAGACAUUUCAAAGAAUAUUGAACAAAAAAGACUCUUUUCUAAAAAAUAAUUAUGUGCUUGAGAUUUACGGAGUAUGGGCUAAAGAAAUAAAUAAAGAAAAAAGCCACCAAAUUCUGAACAAAUAUCAAGGGUCAUUUCUUCAUGCAGUGAAUUCUAACUAUGUUAUUGUUACAUAAUGGUUUUCAACUCAAUUGGGCUGGAAAAAUAGAGAGGAAAAGCAGUGAAUAAUCAUAAGAGUGCUCCCUGUGGAGGAAUAGAAUUUGAGAAGGGAAAGGACCAAUACUUCUACAUCUUCAUGGUGAGAAGCUUUAAAGGAAUGUCUAAUUUACUACACUUGUCUGCAUUCUUGCCCAAUAGUUCUUCGGUCAAAGUCCCUACCUUCAGUGAGAAAACUAAUAAUAAAAUUUAGCAAUGUGAAGAAUUUCAUUGGAAUGAAAACUAGAAAUGUUUAAAUAUACCAAGGUAGUGGCAAAAAACCAGUCCAUGUGUGGGACCUAAAAACAAAGUUCAGCAAGAAGAAUUGUGAAUAUUGGCUACAGCACACAGUGACAAACUGCACAAUACAGGAGCAGAAACACUGAGGGAGCUUGGUGUACUGCUCUCAUGGAUAUAUGAAACAAAGGAUUAAGAGGCACAUAGGUGCUUACAGUGGUGCUCUGUUGAAAUCAAUGCAGAUAUGAAACAAAGAUGGAGCAACACAGAAAUGUUGUAGUUGUGCUCCAUCAAGAACCAUACAGCCAGUAAGAACUAAAUCAAAGGAUGAUCAGAUGAUAACAGAAAGCUGAACUUUGCUUCAUUAACUUGAAAAUGCAUAUUACUUUUUAUGUGCCUACCUAUGCUAAUGACUAAACUCACUUCAACUCCACCCAUAAGUAUAGUUUUAUAGUCCAAAAACAUGAAAUAAUAUCAACUGUAACUUCAUCAUUUCCCCUUCCUCAAAGGAAAUAAUGUAAAUGGCUUAAGUUGGCCAAAGACUACUUCAUUGUAACUUCUGGGAUUGGUCAGUGAGCUAAACCUGUCUUUUCUUCCAUAUGGAUGCCUACUGGGUAAGAACCUUACUUUAUAUGUGCUAAAUGAUGACUUCGAGCUACUUUUAAUUGGUGACUAGAGUUUGUCUGUGUAGUGCAUCAGAUUAAUCUUUGCAGUCAGUUGCAAUCAAUGAAAAUCUCUGAACUUUGUCACUAGUGUUUUCAAUUAUCUCUAUGUUUGUUAAGAAAGUGUGUUAUUCCAUGAACUGUGAGUCCUUCAAGGACAGCAGCAGCAGCCAGCAGUGGAAGAUAUACCAAGAAUGCAUGCUGUCACUGUGUGACCCUGAAUAGGUUAGUCAGACCACUGUCUGGUACAGUGAUCUGUUCAGUGUGAUGCCUAAAAAUUUUUGAUUGUUAUGUAUUUUUCAUAUAUUCAUAGCUCUGUAUACUAAUUAUGAAGCUCCUGGUAUUUUUCCUACCCUAUUUGUUAGAUUUUAUAGUAACAAACUAACCUUCUAACAUAUUCCUGAAAUACUGUUUAAUAUUAUUUCCAAGUAGGGCAAAGAAGACAUAAUAAGAAGUGGGACGAAGAAGCCCUUGGACCAGCUCCAAGGGGCUGACCCAGGGUUAGGUUACUGGGGCAACUGAAUCUCCUAUUGGAUGUACCUGUUAGCUAUCUUAAUUAAUAAACCUUACAAAAUUUCAGAAAUCUGAUGACUUUGUGCCCAUCACCACCAGGACACCAGGGCGCUUCCAAAUAAAGGUCUGCUUUUUACUUUACUAUUUUAACACUGUUGCAAGGGUUUUUGCUCUUUUGAUUUCAAGCAACAAGUUGAAUCCCUAAAAACAGGCACUGACAGACUGGUAGAGCCCGAGGAUCUUGUUUGUACUGGGGCUCUGAUAGUUUGAUCAAAUAUAAAGGGUUCAAGAAAAUCUUCACCUUUCAUAUGACAGCAUGUCAUGUCUAUACCUGCUUUAUGAAUAUAAUUUUGAUGGUAAGAGGUCCAGUAAAUGUUUAACAGACAAGAAUUGUUUAAAUACACUAUUUUAUUAGAGAGUGCAGCUAAAUUAUUGAUGUUCACCUCACCUAGGAACAAACUCCUGAAAAAAACCACUUCUUGCUUUGCUAGGUUGCUGUAAUAGUUUGGUGUGUUUUUGUUCCUUUGGUAGGUUAAUUUGUUCUUCCUGUGAUGCCUGUUAAUUUUCUGUAUCUUUCCAACACAAAAUCUUCAGGACAGGCUCUUCAUAUAUGCACUGUUAUGUAAGCUGCUCUUUUACAAACCAGACACACAAAGGAAGUAAAUUAGCACUGUGUCAUUAAAGCCCAGCUUUGGAUUGCCAAUUAACCAAAGGCUGGAUCCACAGUCGUUGUCAAGCUCUUAACUGCCAAAUUGUAGACAAAUGGAGACAAGGGUUUAGUGAAUUUUCAAAAUAAUCAUACCAGGGAUGUAUGAUUAUUGAUUAUUGAUAUGAUUGUAUUGUAUUGUAUGAUACAAACAAUGCUAUGAAAUCAAAUGAGGCACAGUCAAAGCAAAACUUGGUGUGAAUGUACAAAUAAACAGGUAAAAGUACUUAAUAUUAUCUCCUCUCAUGAGACUGAGCUAUAUCAUUUUUGCCAUAAUGAGAACGUGAUGUUAUUUUAAUUGUAAUGUAACAGGUUAAAAGGCAAUUUUUUCUGUUAAGUCAGAGUUUCACAGCAGCAUUGAAAAUCUAAGUUCCAAACCAACACAGUGUAAGAUGUAUCUGAUUCUCAAUUAAUAUUGAAAACUACUAAGUCCUGGACAAGUGCUCAGAUUCAGUAUACAAGUAGCACCAAAACUGCAACACCACAAUCUAUGUUAUACUCAGAAGUGUCUGUCAUGAACCUUUAUAGACCCUUUCUUUUCAUGAUUACAAGAAAGGAGUCAUUAAGUUGGUACUUUAAACUUCUGAAUUGUUCAAAGGAAAGGAUUGGGAUUUAAGGCACUACCAUAUUUUCUGCCUGUUCAUUUUACAAUCAUGUCUUCAAGACAGGAGUAUUAGUGAGAUGAUACCUCUCUUGCCUUUUAUUCCUGGUUCCUAUAAUGGGUUCCUAUGUAAGCCACCUAGUGUAUAA